UACGUAGGGUGCGAGCGUUAAUCGGAAUUACUGGGCGUAAAGCGUGCGCAGGCGGUUUUGUAAGCCAGAUGUGAAAGCCCCGGGCUUAACCUGGGAAUGGCAUUUGGGACUGCAAGGCUAGAGUGCGGCAGAGGAGACUGGAAUUCCUGGUGUAGCGGUGAAAUGCGUAGAUAUCAGGAGGAACACCGUGUGUAAACGGCUCUGGACCAUAACUGACGCUGAGGCACGAAAGCGUGGGAGCAAACAGG
rnacentral:rRNA from 1 species